UACGGAGGAUCCGAGCGUUAUCCGGAUUUAUUGGGUUUAAAGGGUUAGCGUAGGCGGAUAUGUAAGUCAGCGGUGAAACUCACAGGCUCAACCUGUGCCGUGCCGUUGAAACUGUGUAUCUGGAAUGCGGAUGCUGUGGGAGGAAUGUGUAGUGUAGCGGUGAAAUGCAUAGAUAUUACACAGAACACCGAUUGCGAAGGCAUCUCACAAAGCCGUUAUUGACGCUGAGGCACGAAAGUGUGGGGAUCAAACA
rnacentral:rRNA from 1 species